AGUUCUUACAGUAUGAUACAACAUCCUGCCGCGAUGUUGUGCGACCUGCAGUGUCAGCUGAAAGAACA
rfam:Sclerotinia borealis F-4128 unplaced genomic scaffold scaffold00065, whole genome shotgun sequence.